UACGUAGGGGGCGAGCGUUGUCCGGAUUUAUUGGGCGUAAAGAGCUCGUAGGCGGCUUGGCAAGUCGGGUGUGAAACCUCCAGGCUCAACCUGGAGACGCCACUCGAUACUGCCAUGGCUAGAGUCCGGUAGGGGACCACGGAAUUCCUGGUGUAGCGGUGAAAUGCGCAGAUAUCAGGAGGAACACCGAUGGCGAAGGCAGUGGGCUGGGCCGGCACUGACGCUGAGGAGCGAAAGCGUGGGGAGCGAACAGG
rnacentral:rRNA from 1 species